rnacentral:rRNA from 1 species
UACGUAGGGGGCAAGCGUUGUCCGGAUUUACUGGGCGUAAAGCGCGCGUAGGUGGAAGGUCAAGUCCGGCUUGAAAGCCCCCGGCUCAACCGGGGAGAGUGGCUGGAAACUGGCUUUCUUGAGGGCGAGAGAGGAGGGUGGAAUUCCUGGUGUAGCGGUGAAAUGCGUAGAUAUCGGGAAGAACACCAGUGGCGAAGGCGCUCUACUGGGCCACAACUGACGCUGAGGGACGAAAGCUAGGGGAGCGAAAGGG